UGCACUGUAUGGAAUCUAUAUUCUUAGCAGUUUAUGCUUUCUGGGUGUUUAAAGGACAGUGCAAUAUAAAUUCAGUAUCUGAUAUCGUUGGUUUUCUUGGUUUCAUGCAUAUUAAACCUGAUAGUUUUAUUGAUUAGUA